UACGUAGGGUGCAAGCGUUAAUCGGAAUUACUGGGCGUAAAGCGUGCGCAGGCGGUGAUGUAAGACCGAUGUGAAAUCCCCGGGCUUAACCUGGGAACUGCAUUGGUGACUGCAUUGCUAGAGUAUGGCAGAGGGGGGUGGAAUUCCACGUGUAGCAGUGAAAUGCGUAGAGAUGUGGAGGAACACCGAUGGCGAAGGCAGCCCCCUGGGCCAAUACUGACGCUCAUGCACGAAAGCGUGGG
rnacentral:rRNA from 1 species